ACUCCUACGGGAGGCAGCAGUAGGGAAUCUUCCGCAAUGGGCGAAAGCCUGACGGAGCAACGCCGCGUGAGUGAUGAAGGUCUUCGGAUCGUAAAACCCUGUUAUUAGGGAAGAACAAAUGUGUAAGUAACUGUGCACGUCUUGACGGUACCUAAUCAGAAAGCCACGGCUAACUACGUGCCAGCAGCCGCGGUAAU
rnacentral:rRNA from 1 species